CGUGGGACGUACCUUUCGCUACGGAAUAGCUCUUGGAAACGAGUGGUAAUACCGUAUACGCCCUCCGGGGGAAAGAUUUAUCGGCGAAAGAUCGGCCCGCGUUAGAUUAGUUUGUUGGUGGGGUAAUGGCCUACCAAGACUACGAUCUAUAGCUGGUCUGAGAGGAUGAUCAGCCACACUGGGACUGAGACACGGCCCAGACUCCUACGGGAGGCAGCAGUGGGGAAUCUUGCACAAUGGGCGAAAGCCUGAUGCAGCCAUGCCGCGUGAAUGAUGAAGGCCUUAGGGUUGUAAAAUUCUUUCGCUAGGGAUGAUAAUGACAGUACCUAGUAAAGAAGCCCCGGCUAACUUCGUGCCAGCAGCCGCGGUAAUACGAAGGGGGCUAGCGUUGUUCGGAAUUACUGGGCGUAAAGCGCACGUAGGCGGACUUUUAAGUCAGAUGUGAAAUCCCGGGGCUCAACCUCGGAACUGCAUUUGAAACUGGAAGUCUGGAGUUCAGGAGAGGUUAGCGGAAUACCGAGUGUAGAGGUGAAAUUCGUAGAUAUUCGGUGGAACACCAGUGGCGAAGGCGGCUAACUGGACUGAUACUGACGCUGAGGUGCGAAAGUGUGGGGAGCAAACAGGAUUAGAUACCCUGGUAGUCCACACCGUAAACGAUGACAGCUAGUUGUUGGCAGGCAUGCCUGUCGGUGACGCAGCUAACGCAUUAAGCUGUCCGCCUGGGGAGUACGGCCGCAAGGUUAAAACUCAAAGAAAUUGACGGGGGCCCGCACA
rnacentral:rRNA from 1 species